rnacentral:rRNA from 1 species
GACGAACGCUGGCGGCGUGCCUAAUACAUGCAAGUUGAGCGCUGAAGGUUGGUACUUGUACCAACUGGAUGAGCAGCGAACGGGUGAGUAACGCGUGGGGAAUCUGCCUUUGAGCGGGGGACAACAUUUGGAAACGAAUGCUAAUACCGCAUAAAAACUUUAAACACAAGUUUUAAGUUUGAAAGAUGCAAUUGCAUCACUCAAAGAUGAUCCCGCGUUGUAUUAGCUAGUUGGUGAGGUAAAGGCUCACCAAGGCGAUGAUACAUAGCCGACCUGAGAGGGUGAGCGGCCACAUUGGGACUGAGACACGGCCCAAACUCCUACGGGAGGCAGCAGUAGGGAAUCUUCGGCAAGAGACGAAAGUCUGACCGAGCAACGCCGCGGGAGGGAAGAAGGUUUUCGGAUCGUAAAACUCUGUUGGUAGAGAAGAACGUUGGUGAGAGUGGAAAGCUCAUCAAGUGACGGUAACUACCCAGAAAGGGACGGCUAACUACGUG